rnacentral:rRNA from 1 species
GACGAACGCUGGCGGCGUGCUUAACAUAUGCAAGUCGAACGGUGAAGGGAUCAGCUUGCUGGUUCUGGAUGAGUGGCGAACGGGUGAGUAACACGUGAGUAACCUGCCCCCUUCUUCUGGAUAACCGCAUGAAAGUGUGGCUAAUACGGGAUAUUCUGCGCCUGCUGCAUGGUGGGUGUGGGAAAGAUAUUGUUUCGGUGGGGGAUGGGCUCGCGGCCUAUCAGCUUGUUGGUGGGGUGAUGGCCUACCAAGGCGGUGACGGGUAGCCGGCCUGAGAGGGGGGACGGUUAAACUGGGAACCGGGAACCGCCCAGGCUCCUAACGGAGGCAGCAGUGGGGAAAAAUGGACAAAGGGCGGAAGGCUGAUGCAGGGACGGCGGGUGAGGGAUGGAGGCCUUCGGGUUGUGAACCUCUUUCGCCAGUGAAGCAGGCCUGUCCCUUGUGGGUGGGUUGACGGUAGCUGGAUAAGAAGCGCCGGCUAACUACGUG